AUUCUACCCAUGUGGGGAAGGAUGAGAAGCUUCGACUAAGGUUCGAUUCGAGCGCAGCGAGAAAGCGUUGCCGCAGGCAACGACCCGAAGGGCGAAGC
rnacentral:sRNA from 2 species